rnacentral:rRNA from 1 species
GAUGAACGCUGGCGGCGUGCCUAAUACAUGCAAGUCGAGCGAAUGGAUUAAGAGCUUGCUCUUAUGAAGUUAGCGGCGGACGGGUGAGUAACACGUGGGUAACCUGCCCAUAAGACUGGGAUAACUCCGGGAAACCGGGGCUAAUACCGGAUAACAUUUUGAACCGCAUGGUUCGAAAUUGAAAGGCGGCUUCGGCUGUCACUUACGGAUGGACCCGCGUCGCAUUAGCUAGUUGGGGAGGUAACGGCUCACCAAGGCAACGAUGCGUAGCCGAACUGAGAGGGUGAUCGGCCACACUGGGACUGAGACACGGCCCAGACUCCUACGGGAGGCAGCAGUAGGGAAUCUUCCGCAAUGGACGAAAGUCUGACGGAGCAACGCCGCGUGAGUGAUGAAGGCUUUCGGGUCGUAAAACUCUGUUGUUAGGGAAGAACAAGUGCUAGUUGAAUAAGCUGGCACCUUGACGGUACCUAACCAGAAAGCCACGGCUAACUACGUGCCAGCAGCCGCGGUAA